GUGAGGAAUCUUCCACAAUGGGCGAAAGCCUGAUGGAGCAACGCCGCGUGAAGGAUGAAGGUCUUCGGAUUGUAAACUUCUUUUAUGAGUGAAGAAUAUGACGGCAACUCAUGAAUAAGCACCGGCUAACUACGUGCCAGCAGCCGCGGUCAUACGUAGGGUGCAAGCAUUAUCCGGAGUGACUGGGCGUAAAGAGUUGCGUAGGCGGUUAUGUAAGCGAAUAGUGAAACCUGGUGGCUCAACCACACAGACUAUUAUUCGAACUGCAUAACUCGAGAAUGGUAGAGGUAACUGGAAUUUCUUGUGUAGGAGUGAAAUCCGUAGAUAUAAGAAGGAACACCAAUGGCGUAGGCAGGUUACUGGGCCAUUUCUGACGCUAAGGCACGAAAGCGUGGGGAGCGAACCGGAUUAGAUACCCUGGUAGUCC
rnacentral:rRNA from 1 species